UGGUAAAGAGGAGAAGUUCAAUCAGAAAUGGACAAUGACAAAGAAACGAAAACCGAGUCAUGCCCUAACCAUGACUGGGCCGAGUUAACUCAGUUAUGCCUCAUCAACAUCCUUUCUCGCCUUUCCAUCGAAGACCGAUGGCGCGGAGCCAUGUUUGUGUGCAAGCCAUGGUUUCAAGCUUGCAAAGACCCUACCCUCAACUCGGUAAUCGACCUCGAAACUCAGUUCGAAUCAUCCACUAAACCGUCUCGUUUCUGGACGCCCGGGUUCGAGCGCAAAAUGGACUCUAUGCUUCGAUCUGUUGUACUUUGGAGUGAUGGAUCUCUUACUACAGUCCGGGUUAGACACUGCUCUGAUCAGUCCCUAGCUUUAAUUGCUGAAAGGUCUCCAAACCUUCAAGUUCUCUCCAUCAAAUGCUGUCCACAUGUAACUGAUGAAACGAUGUCUAAGAUCGCCUUUGGGUGCCCUUUGCUUAGGGAACUCGAUAUCAGCCUCUGCUGUCAAAUAUCUCACAAUUCUCUUGCUCUUAUAGGACAUCAUUGUGCUAAUUUGAGAAUUCUAAGGCGAAAUUUCACGAGUAGGUUAGAUCUUUCCCGACAACAAUGUUUUGUCCCCUGGGAGUAUCUAGAUGCCUAUCCUCAAGAUGGCGAUUCAGAAGCUGCUGCAAUUGGAAAAUUUAUGCUGAAACUUGUGCAACUUGAGCUUCGUUUCUCCAACUUGACUACUAAAGGUCUAGCUUUGAUAUCUGAAGGGUGUGUAAACCUUGAGCAUUUGGAUCUAUCUGGGUGUACAGAUGUUACUAGCUCGGAAAUUUCAAACGCCUCAUCGAAUCUGAAGCAGUUGAAAACCUUGAAGAAGCCUCAGUUUUACUUCUCGAUGUUAGGAUCUCACACUGAGAGGUAUAUACGUGCACUGGCAGCUGUAUGAUGAGCGUUUCCGGACAGGUAACAUCCGAAUUUAAUCAGUCAACGAAUGAGCGAUGAUACAACGUUGUUCAACUGCUUGUAUAUUGUGUUUUCUAUUUGUGUAUCAAACAGUGCUAUGUAAAAGUAGAGGAAGCUUUUGUUUAACGCUCUGGAUUACUUAGUAGAAAGGUAUUCGACAGGCUUUA